AGCUCCAAUAGCGUAUAUUAAAGUUGCUGCAGUUAAAAAGCUCGUAGUUGCAUUUCCGAGGCAAGGGAUCAGUCCGACCUUUGGUGGGUAUUUAAUCCUCUUGCCUCGUCCUUGAGUGGUGCUUCUUGGUAUUAAGUUAUCGAGGAGAUAGUCGCUCAUCGUUUACUGUGAGAAAAUUAGAGUGUUCAAAGCAGGCUUAUGCCGUUGAAUAUAUUAGCAUGGAAUAAUAAGAUAGGACCUCGGUACUAUUUUGUUGGUUUGAGAACCAAGGUAAUGAUGAAUAGGGACAGUUGGGGGUAUUCGUAUUCAGUUGUCAGAGGUGAAAUUCUUAGAUUUACGGAAGACGAACUACUGCGAAAGCAUUUACCAAGGAUGUUUUCA
rnacentral:rRNA from 1 species